rnacentral:rRNA from 1 species
GAUUAACGCUGGCGGCGUGCCUAACACAUGCAAGUCGAACGAGGUAGCAAUACCUAGUGGCAGACGGGUGAGUAACGCGUGGUCAACCUACCGUUGAGUGGGGGAUAACUAGCCGAAAGGUUAGCUAAUACCGCAUACGUCUCCGAGUGGCAUCACUUGGCGAUAAAAGGAGCAAUCCGCUCGAUGACGGGACCGGCGUCCCAUUAGCUAGAGUGGGGUACGGGGUAACCGCCUACCAGNGGCCACCGAGUGGGUAGCGUUGGUUUGAGAGAGCCGACCAGCCACACG